rnacentral:lncRNA from 1 species
CCAUUUAUCUGAGAAAAGGUCAUUCUACUGGUUAAACUGAUGGUACAUAUAGGGAAAAGAUUCAUUGAUGAUCAGGAACUAAAUGCACAAUUUCUAGAACUUGUCAUCAACAUCUACAGGGAUGAAGGCCUGAGUGGGACAGUGUUGACAACAAAAUAAGAACAGCCUUUCCUUGCUGGUCUCAGAUGUCAGCAACCAGUCAUCCGAGGGAAAUUUGUAGAGGUUUUCAACAGCAGUAUUCCAUGUAGCGUGUUUUAGAGACUGCUCUACAUAACAUGUUUACAGAACUGGGAACUGAUGGGUGGACACUUUUUGAUUUAACAGUGAAUUGAGG